UGGGGAAUAUUGGUCAAUGGGGGAAACCCUGAACCAGCAACGCCGCGUGAAGGAUGAAGGUUUUCGGAUUGUAAACUUCUUUGACGAGGGAAGAUAAUGACGGUACCUCGAAAACAAGCCACGGCUAACUACGUGCCAGCAGCCGCGGUAAUACGUAGGUGGCAAGCGUUGUCCGGAUUUACUGGGUGUAAAGGGCGUGUAGGCGGAUUUGUAAGUCAGAUGUGAAAUUUAGGGGCUCAACCCCUAAACUGCAUUUGAAACUGCAAAUCUUGAGUGAUGGAGAGGCAGAUGGAAUUCCUAGUGUAGCGGUGAAAUGCGUAGAUAUUAGGAGGAACACCAGUGGCGAAGGCGGUCUGCUGGACAUUAACUGACGCUGAGGCGCGAAAGCGUGGGGAGCAAACA
rnacentral:rRNA from 1 species